UUAGUUCAGCAGGGUACCUGCCAUUUAAUUUCUAAGGAAACAGCAAGAGAAAAAGGAGAGAGAAUAUGUUAAAAAGAAAUGAAAAAAGAACACUCGCAGCUUGGACCUCCGUCGUCUUUUUGACGGGCAAUAUCUACUCCCUUCUGCUGGCUAUCGGUGAGACCUUUGGAUUUCUAGACUACGCUUGGUUAUUGACCUCUGGACCAGAUUGGGACCCUGCUAACUGCCGUUACCCUGACUGCUGUGCCUGGACCUGGAUAUCGUUGGCCGCUGAACCUUAAAUUGAAUCCUGACUACGACCACGCUUUUCGUUUGCUGCAGGGAGGAAUAAACAAGCCUGGUUUAUUCUCCUGCUGUUUCUGAGUAGCAGAGAGGAAUCUGCUACCAGUCUGUUGUUUACAUUCUGACUCCUGUUGAUUCUCUUUUGUUUGCAUUGUUUGCCAGGCUGAAGAAAGCACUUUUGAUUUAAUCCGGAUUAUACUUCUGUUUAACCCGGUUUAUCCCUUUGAAUUGUUUAAGCUCAAACUGAGUUGAUUUUUGUUACUUAUCACACUGAAAUCAAGUGUUUGCCCUGUUCUUUGUCUCCUACAGGCGUUUUUAGUUCUGUAACCUCAAUAAACUGAGUUUUGUUUUA